rnacentral:rRNA from 1 species
AAAAGUAAGUAAGGGCACAUGGCGGAUGCCUUGGCUCUCGGAGGCGAUGAAGGACGUGAUAAGCUGCGAUAAGCUGCGGGUAGGUGCAAAUGACCUUUGAUCCGCGGAUUUCCGAAUGGGACAACCCGGUACUUUGAAGAAGUAUCAUCCUGCAUUGCAGGAGGCUAACGCAGGGAACUGAAACAUCUUAGUACCUGCAGGAAAAGAAAAUAAACAAUGAUUCCCCCAGUAGUGGCGAGCGAACGGGGAACAGCCCAAACCACCCAUGUUACGGCAUGUGUGGGGUUGUAGGACCACGUCGUGGCAAGAAAGUUGGUGAGCAGAAUGUUCUGGAAAGUACAGCCAUAGAGCAUGACAGCUGCGUAUGCGAAGCCAAGCGAAGCCUAGUGGUAUCCUGAGUAGCGCGGAGCACGAGGAAUUCUGCGUGAAUCUGCCGGGACCAUCCGGUAAGGCUAAAUACUCCCGAGAGACCGAUAGUGAACCAGUACUGUGAAGGAAAGGUGAAAAGCACUUCGAACAGAAGAGUGAAAUAGUUCCUGAAACCAUGUGCCUACAAGCGGUCGGAGCACCUUCUGGUGUGACGGCGUGCCUUUUGCAUAAUGAACCUACGAGUUACUUUUUCCGGCGAGGUUAAGGAUUUCAGAUCUGCAGCCGAAGCGAAAGCGAGUCUGAACAGGGCGUAUAGUCGGAAGGAGUAGACGCGAAACCAAGUGAUCUACCCUUGGGCAGGUUGAAGGAUGGGUAACACCAUCUGGAGGACCGAACCAAUAAGCGUUGAAAAGCUUCUGGAUGACCUGAGGGUGGGGGUGAAAGGCUAAUCAAACUUGGAGAUAGCUCGUACUCCCCGAAAUGCAUUUAGGUGCAGCCUUGACUUAUACUGGCAUGAGGUAGAGCGACUGAUAAGAUGCGAGGGCUUCACCGCCUAUCAAGUCUUGACAAACUCCGAAUGCGUGUCAGUUCUAUGUCAGGAGUGAGGGCAUGGGUGCUAAGGUCCAUGUCCUAAAGGAGAACAAUCCGGACCAACAGCUAAGGUCCCGAAAUGAAUACUAAGUUGAACUAACGAAGUCAGAUUGCUAAGACAGCUAGGAUGUUGGCUUGGAAGCAGCCAUUCAUUUAAAGAGUGCGUAACAGCUCACUAGUCGAGGAGUUUGGCGUGGAUAAUAAUCGGGCAUAAGUAUUCUACCGAAGCUUUGGGAUGAGAAAUCAUCGGUAGGGGAGCAUUCCACUCGGCGUCGAAGGUGAAGCGCGAGCUUUGCUGGAGCGUGUGGAAAAGCAAAUGUAGGUAUAAGUAACGAUAAAGGGGGUGGGAAACCCCCUCGCCGAAAGACUAAGGUUUCCUGAUCAACGCUAAUCGGAUCAGGGUAAGUCGGGUCCUAAGGCUCAGCCGAACGGCGAGGCCGAUGGCAGAACCGGUUAAUAUUCCGGUACUACCUGUGGGAGUGACGUGGAGACGGAGUCGUGACAGCGCCGCGGACUGACGGAAUAGUCCGUUGAAGGGUGUAGAUGCUGAUUGUUCCAGGCAAAUCCGGAGCAAGAGUCGAACCUGAUAGUAUGGAGCGUUCUUAGAACAAUCCAAUAGUGCGUGUAAUCAUACUUCCAAGAAAAUCCGCUAAACUUAAUCCUGCAGGUACCCGUACCGCAAACGGACACACGUAGUCGGGUUGAAUAUACUAAGGCGCUUGAGUGAUUCACGGUUAAGGAACUAGGCAAACUGACCCUGUAACUUCGGGAUAAAGGGUCCUCGCUUUACGGCGAGGCGCAGAGAAUAGGUCCAGGCAACUGUUUAACAAAAACACAGGGCUGUGCAAAAUUGAAAGAUGAAGUAUACAGCCUGACACCUGCCCGGUGCUGGAAGGUUAAGAGGAGAUGUCAUCGCAAGAGAAGCAUUGAAUUGAAGCCCCAGUAAACGGCGGCCGUAACUAUAACGGUCCUAAGGUAGCGAAAUUCCUUGUCGGGUAAGUUCCGACCUGCACGAAUGGUGUAAUGAUCUGGACGCUGUCUCAACCGUGAGCUCAGUGAAAUUGUAGUAUCGGUGAAGAUGCCGAUUACCCGCGAUGGGACGAAAAGACCCCGUGAACCUUUACUAUAGCU